CCUACGGGUGGCAGCAGUGGGGAAUAUUGGACAAUGGGGGGAACCCUGAUCCAGCGACGCCGCGUGAGUGAAGAAGUAUUUCGGUAUGUAAAGCUCUAUCAGCAGGGAAGAAAGAAGUGACGGUACCUGACUAAGAAGCCCCGGCUAACUACGUGCCAGCAGCCGCGCUAAUACGUCGGGGGCAAGCGUUCUCCGGAUUUACUGGGUGUAAAGGGAGCGUAGACGGCCAGGCAAGUCAGAAGUGAAAGCCCCAGGCUCAACCCGGGUACUGCUUUUGAAACUGGCAGGCUGGAGUGCAGGAGAGGUAAGCGGAAUUCCUAGUGUAGCGGUGAAAUGCGUAGAUAUUAGGAGGAACACCAGUGGCGAAGGCGGCUUACUGGACUGUAACUGACGUUGAGGCUCGAAAGCGUGGGGAGCAAACAGGAUUAGAUACCCCAGUAGUC
rnacentral:rRNA from 1 species